UACAGAGGUCUCAAGCGUUGUUCGGAUUCAUUGGGCGUAAAGGGUGCGUAGGCGGCGCGGUAAGUCGGGUGUGAAAUCUUGGAGCUUAACUCCGAAACUGCAUUCGAUACUGCCGUGCUUGAGGACUGGAGAGGAGACUGGAAUUUACGGUGUAGCGGUGAAAUGCGUAGAUAUCGUAAGGAAGACCAGUGGCGAAGGCGGGUCUCUGGACAGUUUCUGACGCUGAGGCACGAAGGCCAGGGGAGCAAACGGG
rnacentral:rRNA from 1 species